UUUUUAUAUUGCGUUUUUCGAUUAUUUUCCAUUUUCGUGUCAAUACGACAAGGUAUUGACAGGUUUAUUUAACAAACAUGUUGACAAUAUGCGACCGAAACUCAGAUAAGAAAACUUUCAUAAUUUAUAUGAUUUGCAUGCCAAGUUUGUACUCGUCCUGUUCGUCCUGUUUGUGCUGCUGGUCCGAUAGCCAAGCUAGUUGAGCACUUGAAUCUGAUGUGGCUUUUUCUCUUCCCAUUCACCAGGAGUGGUAAACAAAAAUGUGUUUCGUACGGCAUUUCUACGGGCUUCCAUGUUGCCAGCUUAAAACUGAAUCCUGUGGCAAAGCAAAAAGGAUGUUCAACUUGAUAUCCAACAAGCAAAUAGGUUUCCUUGACUUUUUCUCGAGCUAUCAUUGAAGUGAAAUCUAUAAAGGCUAAUUGACUGUUUGAUAAAUAAAAAGAUAGAAUAUUCAUGGACUACGCUUAA